rnacentral:rRNA from 1 species
CCUACGGGGGGCAGCAGUGGGGAAUAUUGCACAAUGGGGGAAACCCUGAUGCAGCGACGCCGCGUGAGUGAAGAAGUAUCUCGGUACGUAAAGCUCUAUCAGCAGGGACGAAAAUGAUGGUACCUGACUAAGAAGCCCCGGCUAACUACGUGCCAGCAGCCGCGGUAAUACGUCGGGGGCAAGCGUUAUCCGGCUUUACUGGGUGUAAAGGGAGCGUAGACGGCAACACAAGUCUGGAGUGAAAUCCCUGGGCUUAACCCCGGAACUGCUUUGGAAACUGUGCGGCUUGAGUGCAGGAGGGGUAAGCGGAAGUCCGAGUGUAGCGGUGAAAUGCGUAGAGAUUAGGAGGAACACCGGUGGCGAAGGCGGAUUACUGGACAGUAACUGACGUUGAGGCGCGAAAGCGUGGGGAGCAAACAGGAUUAGAUACCCCUGUAGUC